CAGCAGCCGCGAUAAUACCGGCGGCCCGAGUGGCGGCCACUAUUAUUGGGCCUAAAGCGUCCGUAGCCGGGCUGGUAAGUCCUCCGGGAAAUCUGGUCGCUUAACGAUCAGACUUCCGGAGGAUACUGCUGGCCUAGGGACCGGGAGAGGCCGGGGGUAUUCCCGGGGUAGGGGUGAAAUCCUGUAAUCCCGGGAGGACCACCUGUGGCGAAGGCGCUCGGCUGGAACGGGUCCGACGGUGAGGGACGAAGGCCAGGGGAGCGAACCGGAUUAGAUACCCGGGUAGUCCUGGCUGUAAACGAUGCGGACUAGGUGUCGGGCAAGCUAAGGGCUUGUCCGGUGCCGCAGGGAAGCCGUUAAGUCCGCCGCCUGGGGAGUACGGCCGCAAGGCUGAAACUUAAAGGAAUUGGCGGG
rnacentral:rRNA from 1 species